AUUAGAUACCCUGGGUAGUCCACGCCGUAAACGAUGAUUACUAGGUGUCGGUGGGUAUGGACCCACCGGUGCCGCAGCAAACGCAGUAAGUAAUCCACCUGGGGAGUACGUUCGCAAGAAUGAAACUCAAAGGAAUUGACGGGGACCCGCACAAGCGGUGGAGCAUGUGGUUUAAUCCGAAGCAACGCGAAGAACCUUACCAAGUCUUGACAUCCCAUCGAAUAAAGGGUAAUGCCUUUAGUCCUUCGGGACGAUGGAGACAGGUGGUGCAUGGUUGUCGUCAGCUCGUGUCGUGAGAUGUUGGGUUAAGUCCCGCAACGAGCGCAACCCUUAUCCUCAGUAGCCAGCAGGUAAAGCCGGGCACUCUGGGGAGACUGCCGGGGAUAACCCGGAGGAAGGUGGGGAUGACGUCAAAUCAUCAUGCCCCUUAUGAUUUGGGCUACACACGUGCUACAAUGGCGUAAACAGAGGGAAGCGAACCCGCGAGGGGGAGCAAAUCCAGAAAUAACGUCCCAGUUCGGAUUGUAGUCUGCAACCCGGCUACAUGAAGCUGGAAUCGCUAGUAAUCGCGGAUCAGAAUGCCGCGGUGAAUACGUUCCCGGGUCUUGUACACACCGCCCGUCACACCAUGGGAGUCGGAAAUGCCCGAAGUCUGUGACCCAACCUCAGGGAGGGAGCAGCCGAAGGCAGGUCGGAUGACUGGGGUGAAGUCGUAACAAGGUACC
rnacentral:rRNA from 1 species